UACGGAGGAUCCGAGCGUUAUCCGGAUUUAUUGGGUUUAAAGGGAGCGUAGGUGGAUUGUUAAGUCAGUUGUGAAAGUUUGCGGCUCAACCGUAAAAUUGCAGUUGAAACUGGCAGUCUUGAGUACAGUAGAGGUGGGCGGAAUUCGCGGUGUAGCGGUGAAAUGCUUAGAUAUCACGAAGAACUCCGAUUGCGAAGGCAGCUCACUGGACUGCAACUGACACUGAGGCUCGAAAGUGUGGGUAUCAAACAGG
rnacentral:rRNA from 1 species